ensembl:lncRNA
AAUUGCUCCAUCUACAGGUCCGAGAUCUGCAAGUGAGGUCAUUACUGGGCCUGGUCGGAUUGCACAGCUCCUCCACCGACACUACUCACACCCCCAUCGCUCCGACCCAACACAAGUUCAGCACCUGGCGAUCUUCUGAUGUUUUUUUCCCAGAGGAAAACUUCAGCCACUGGAGGGUGAAGAGGGGAGACACUUCUCCAUGGCCAACAACGUUGGAUUUGGACUAAUAUAAAUUCAAAAAUGCAGUAGGAAUUUAUACAGAAAGAUUCAAAACUGCUUCCCCCAAACCAGCUCCCUCUUCGGCAUGGAGGGCAGUCUGACUGAUGUAAAACCAUGUGUCUGUACCAUCACAUGCACGAAAAUGGACUGUCAAAAUUAAAGUGGGGUGGUGGUUAGGGAGGCAUAUGGCAUCCAUUUAUUCUUUCUGGCUGCUUCCUUUUCUCCUCUCCAUCAUCUCCUUGGAUUUGUUCUCUUUUUCUGAACCUGAGCAAGUUCAGACAACCAACUGCAGGAAACCAAGUACGUAUAUUUCUACUGCAUUCAGUGACACUUUCUGUGUAUAACUGUCUACUCUUUAGUGCUGAGAAAUAAAGAGACUGGUUUGGAGCCUUUGCUUUGCCUCCCAGAGGAGUUCUUAAGAGCGGACAAUGAAUUCAGGGCCCCAGGCUCAGCUCUGUAGCUGUAAGCACCGUGAUUUGAGAAACACCAACUUCAACUUUCCCAGUGCAGAAUCCUUUGAGAAGUAUUGCAACACUAAGUUAAAAAAGCCACAAGAAAACUUCAUUAAAACAUCAGUUAUGAGAACCAAAAUAACCAACAGGAGAGGCACAGGUAAAGAACAGAAAGGCUUUAUUAUAUGAGACAUCAUCUUAUCGUUGCCACCAUACUGGGAAAAUCGCUGUGAUCGCAGUUCAGGAACAGGCAUGGUCAGAAGCAGCUCUUUCUCAGUAAUCAAUCAUCUCAGCAUAAGAUGCUUCUUACCAGCAGGCACAUGCACAGAUCCACAACAUGUGAGUAUUCUCCUCUCAGUGUCAGUCUCAUGUGCAAACAGUGGCUUCCUACAGACACCCGAAUGUCUGCUGCCAUGAGGAUUGUAUGGUGCACGUGAGAAUAGGCACAGGACUCUUAGGAGUACUGCAAAAGGUAGGAGAUCUCACCAUACUCGUGCUUCUGGUUCCUCUCCCUUCCAAAUGAUUUGUAUGUUUUUUAGUAAGAUCUGAACAGAAAAGCGUGGUCUGCAUUAAAGAGAAGGAAAAAACAACCAACGUUCUCCAUAGCUUGGUCAAUCUUACAAUUCACAAGAAGAAAACAAAUAGUGGUGUGCGUGUUCAAGUGCAUACAUUAACUAUUACAACGGAGGAGCAUAAUUAAAAAAAUAAUUCUGUAACUUACACUGAAUUAAAAAAAUACUUUCUUCCUAUCCAGCUCCAAAGAAGGUGUGGUAAAUACUGGGUUGAAUUUCAGCAAGUUACCCUAUUCUCCAUCUUCUGGCUUCAAAUAACAUUUGAAAAAAGCAAAGUCAACUAUGGUUUUUGAUAGGAGGAGGUCUUAUUUCACAGCAAACUGUAGCUUUCUUGUUCUGAUCACUGGGACACUCUUCCUGUACCUGCAUCCCAUCCACCCUAAGCACGCCUCCUCCGCUGCCACAGGGCAGCCCUGAAUAAAACUGGUGCACAGCUGCUUCCUCCAUUGUGUGCCAUUCCAUGGGCUCCAAAAAGGGCAGAAGUGGGGUGCAGCUAACACAGAAAGGGGAACAGUACCAGUGCUACUUUAUCCGAUUAAAAAUGGCCAAUAUAAUAUCUAAUAACUAACUUCAAUUUGUUGGCAGGCACAUUAUUGGUCUUUAUACUAGAAAAAAUCCUUCUAAGGUAAGUCUGCUUAGCCUCACCUGGAACUGUUUGACAGCAAGCAUAAAGCACUUGUAAACUACAAACCAUCAGGGAGA